rnacentral:rRNA from 1 species
UUAAGCGACUAAGCGUACACGGUGGAUGCCCUGGCAGUCAGAGGCGAUGUAGGACGUGCUAAUCUGCGAUAAGCGUCGGUAAGGUGAUAUGAACCGUUAUAACCGGCGAUUUCCGAAUGGGGAAACCCAGUGUGAUUCGUCACACUAUCAUUAACUGAAUCCAUAGGUUAAUGAGGCGAACCGGGGGAACUGAAACAUCUAAGUACCCCGAGGAAAAGAAAUCAACCGAGAUUCCCCCAGUAGCGGCGAGCGAACGGGGAGGAGCCCAGAGCCUGAAUCAGUGUGUGUGUUAGUGGAAGCGUCUGGAAAGGCGCGCGAUACAGGGUGACAGCCCCGUACACAAAAAUGCACAUGCUGUGAGCUCGAUGAGUAGGGCGGGACACGUGGUAUCCUGUCUGAAUAUGGGGGGACCAUCCUCCAAGGCUAAAUACUCCUGACUGACCGAUAGUGAACCAGUACCGUGAGGGAAAGGCGAAAAGAACCCCGGCGAGGGGAGUGAAAAAGAACCUGAAACCGUGUACGUACAAGCAGUGGGAGCACAGAGCAAUCUGUGUGACUGCGUACCUUUUGUAUAAUGGGUCAGCGACUUAUAUUCUGUAGCAAGGUUAACCGAAUAGGGGAGCCGAAGGGAAACCGAGUCUUAACUGGGCGUUAAGUUGCAGGGUAUAGACCCGAAACCCGGUGAUCUAGCCAUGGGCAGGUUGAAGGUUGGGUAACACUAACUGGAGGACCGAACCGACUAAUGUUGAAAAAUUAGCGGAUGACUUGUGGCUGGGGGUGAAAGGCCAAUCAAACCGGGAGAUAGCUGGUUCUCCCCGAAAGCUAUUUAGGUAGCGCCUCGUGAAUUCAUCUCCGGGGGUAGAGCACUGUUUCGGCAAGGGGGUCAUCCCGACUUACCAACCCGAUGCAAACUGCGAAUACCGGAGAAUGUUAUCACGGGAGACACACGGCGGGUGCUAACGUCCGUCGUGAAGAGGGAAACAACCCAGACCGCCAGCUAAGGUCCCAAAGUCAUGGUUAAGUGGGAAACGAUGUGGGAAGGCCCAGACAGCCAGGAUGUUGGCUUAGAAGCAGCCAUCAUUUAAAGAAAGCGUAAUAGCUCACUGGUCGAGUCGGCCUGCGCGGAAGAUGUAACGGGGCUAAACCAUGCACCGAAGCUGCGGCAGCGACACUGUGUGUUGUUGGGUAGGGGAGCGUUCUGUAAGCCUGUGAAGGUGUGCUGUGAGGCAUGCUGGAGGUAUCAGAAGUGCGAAUGCUGACAUAAGUAACGAUAAAGCGGGUGAAAAGCCCGCUCGCCGGAAGACCAAGGGUUCCUGUCCAACGUUAAUCGGGGCAGGGUGAGUCGACCCCUAAGGCGAGGCCGAAAGGCGUAGUCGAUGGGAAACAGGUUAAUAUUCCUGUACUUGGUGUUACUGCGAAGGGGGGACGGAGAAGGCUAUGUUGGCCGGGCGACGGUUGUCCCGGUUUAAGCGUGUAGGCUGGUUUUCCAGGCAAAUCCGGAAAAUCAAGGCUGAGGCGUGAUGACGAGGCACUACGGUGCUGAAGCAACAAAUGCCCUGCUUCCAGGAAAAGCCUCUAAGCAUCAGGUAACAUCAAAUCGUACCCCAAACCGACACAGGUGGUCAGGUAGAGAAUACCAAGGCGCUUGAGAGAACUCGGGUGAAGGAACUAGGCAAAAUGGUGCCGUAACUUCGGGAGAAGGCACGCUGAUAUGUAGGUGAAGUCCCUCGCGGAUGGAGCUGAAAUCAGUCGAAGAUACCAGCUGGCUGCAACUGUUUAUUAAAAACACAGCACUGUGCAAACACGAAAGUGGACGUAUACGGUGUGACGCCUGCCCGGUGCCGGAAGGUUAAUUGAUGGGGUCAGCGCAAGCGAAGCUCUUGAUCGAAGCCCCGGUAAACGGCGGCCGUAACUAUAACGGUCCUAAGGUAGCGAAAUUCCUUGUCGGGUAAGUUCCGACCUGCACGAAUGGCGUAAUGAUGGCCAGGCUGUCUCCACCCGAGACUCGGUGAAAUUGAACUCGCUGUGAAGAUGCAGUGUACCCGCGGCAAGACGGAAAGACCCCGUGAACCUUUACUAUAGCUUGACACUGAACAUUGAGCCUUGAUGUGUAGGAUAGGUGGGAGGCUUUGAAGUGUGGACGCCAGUCUGCAUGGAGCCGACCUUGAAAUACCACCCUUUAAUGUUUGAUGUUCUAACGUGGACCCGUGAUCCGGGUUGCGGACAGUGUCUGGUGGGUAGUUUGACUGGGGCGGUCUCCUCCUAAAGAGUAACGGAGGAGCACGAAGGUUGGCUAAUCCUGGUCGGACAUCAGGAGGUUAGUGCAAUGGCAUAAGCCAGCUUGACUGCGAGCGUGACGGCGCGAGCAGGUGCGAAAGCAGGUCAUAGUGAUCCGGUGGUUCUGAAUGGAAGGGCCAUCGCUCAACGGAUAAAAGGUACUCCGGGGAUAACAGGCUGAUACCGCCCAAGAGUUCAUAUCGACGGCGGUGUUUGGCACCUCGAUGUCGGCUCAUCACAUCCUGGGGCUGAAGUAGGUCCCAAGGGUAUGGCUGUUCGCCAUUUAAAGUGGUACGCGAGCUGGGUUUAGAACGUCGUGAGACAGUUCGGUCCCUAUCUGCCGUGGGCGCUGGAGAACUGAGGGGGGCUGCUCCUAGUACGAGAGGACCGGAGUGGACGCAUCACUGGUGUUCGGGUUGUCAUGCCAAUGGCACUGCCCGGUAGCUAAAUGCGGAAGAGAUAAGUGCUGAAAGCAUCUAAGCACGAAACUUGCCCCGAGAUGAGUUCUCCCUGACCCUUUAAGGGUCCUGAAGGGACGUUGAAGACGACGACGUUGAUAGGCCGGGUGUGUAAGCGCAGCGAUGCGUUGAGCUAACCGGUACUAAUGAACCGUGAGGCUUAACCUU